rnacentral:rRNA from 1 species
AAACACUGAACCAGCCAUGCCGCGUGGAGGAAUAAGGUCCUACGGAUUGUAAACUCCUUUUGACGAGGAAGAAAGUGUUAGAUUUAUCUAAUUUUGACGGUACUCGUAGAAUAAGCACCGGCUAACUCCGUGCCAGCAGCCGCGGUAAUACGGAGGGUGCAAGCGUUAUCCGGAUUUACUGGGUUUAAAGGGUCCGCAGGUGGGGAGGUAAGUCAGUGGUGAAAUACCCGGGCUCAACUUGGGUGCUGCCAUUGAUACUGCUUUUCUUGAGUGUAGAUGAGGUGGGCGGAAUACAGCAUGUAGCGGUGAAAUGCGUAGAUAUGCUGUAGAACACCGAUUGCGAAGGCAGCUCACUAAAACUACUACUGACACUCAGGGACGAAAGCGUGGGGAUCAAACAGGAUUAGAUACCCUGGUAGUCCACGCCCUAAACUA